GGCCAAGUCCUCAUCUUCCUCGUUAUUAUUUAAUUUUUCUGUGUCUUCUUCUUCCUGAGCUGUCGACUUGAGAGCUAUGGUUCUCUUUCUUCUGGUUUCUUCCUUAAUGUGUUGCUUCAUAGUCAGUUUGUGAGUCAUGAGGGAUCCAAGCAGCUCCUCCAAUGGUAGAAUAUUCAAAUCCUUGGCCUCUUGGAUUGUAGUGACUUUUAUCUCCCAUGAUCUUGGUAAGGACCUGAGUACUUUUCUCAUAAGAUCACUGUUAGAAUAAUAUUUAUCAAGAUUUUUUAAAUCAUUUAUGAUGUCAGUGAA
rnacentral:lncRNA from 1 species